GAAGAAACUAGUCAACGUGCUGGAUGCUGUUUUCAAGCCUGAUGUUCGCUGAUCCAGAGCAGACAUGCAGCAGUUGUUGCUGAUUCAAGAAGAAAUUCUCCCUGAACAGCAGGAGGGGAAUCUGAGUGUUGACCAGGAGGACAUUAAAGAGGAACAAGAGAAUCUCUGCAUCAGUCAGCAGGAGCAGCAGCUGGAGGAGGCCAUCAACAUGCAGCCGUUGUUGUUGAAUAAAAAAGAAACUCUCCCUGAACACCAGGAAUGGAAUC